rnacentral:misc_RNA from 1 species
GAUGAAGAACGUAGCGAAGUGCGAUAAGUAAUGUGAAUUGCAGAAUUCCGUGAAUCAUCGAAUCUUUGAACGCAAAUUGCACUUUCUGGUAUUCCGGAGAGUAUGCCUGUUUGAGGGUCAGUGUAAUAAAAAUAAAUCGUGGUUGUUGCCACCUUUCGUGGUAACGCUUCGGAAUUGAGUCGUCUUACCUUCGGUUAAGUGACUUAAAAUUUUUUCAUACGAUUUCGAAACGUAUUUAAUGUAUUACGCGUACGUUCACGAAUGUCGAAUGUUUAUUAGGUGCGGUCAUUUUCAUGAAUUCGCGUCUAUAAUUUUUUUUUUUUUUUUGACCUCAAAUCAGGUAAGAGUACCCGCUGAACUUAAGCAUAUCAAUAAGCGGAGGA